rnacentral:tRNA from 2 species
GAUCCCGUAGCUCAGUCGGUAGAGCACUUGACUUUUAAUCAAGGUGUCAUGGGUUCGAGUCCCAUCGGGAUCA